UUGGUUCUCGCAUCGAUGAAGAACGCAGCAAAGCGCGAUAGGUAAUGCGAAUUGCAGACGUGAGUCAUUGAAUCUUUGAACGCACAUUGCGCCAGUUUACUGGCAUACUGCGUUGAGCGUCGGCCUUCCUCCACAGGUGUUGCUGCUUGCAGCAGUCAAAGGCAUGGACACGCACCCGUUAGCAACCGGUGCCAACCACACACUUCGACCUCAGCGUAGUAAGACUACCCGCUGAACUUAAGCAUAUCAAUAAGCGGAGGAAAAGAAACCAACAGGGAUUGCCCUAGUAAUGGCGAAUGAACAGGCAAAAGCUCAGAUUUGAAACCCUCGGGAUUGUAAUCUGGAGGCCUGGAUUUGGCGCGCUGACCAAGUCUCCUGGAACGGAGCGCCAUGGAGGGUGACAGCCCCGUAGCAGCAGCCAGUGCAAAUCCGGGCCCACGAGUCGAGUUGUUUGGGAAUGCAGCUCUAAGUGGGUGGUAUGCUCCAUCUAAAGCUAAAUAUUGGCGAGAGACCGAUAGCGAACAAGUACUGUGAAGGAAAGAUGAAAAGAACUUUGAAAAGAGAGUGAAAAAGUACGUGAAAUUGUUGAAAUGGAAGGCAAUGAGGUGCGAUUGCGCCGGGCGUUUGGGGGCAGGACAAAAGCGCAGGCCGCUUCGGCACUGCCUGCGUGCAUGCUGCCUCCCGGACCACCGGGGCUAACAACGCCUUACUGCACCCGUCUUGAAACACGGACCAAGGAGUCUAUUGCCUAUGCGAGUGUUUGGGUGGCAAAC
rnacentral:rRNA from 1 species